rnacentral:lncRNA from 1 species
CUGCAAGCAGCUUGACCUCUGGUCUGAAGCCUUAAAUAAAGCUGGAAUACUUCCUUUUAAGAGGAGAAAGGGAACAGAGAAGUUU